AUGGAUAGGCAAGGCAUUUCAUCUCCGGUCUUACACGACAACGACGGCAUGAGCAACUACAUCACCAAAAUGCCCAUCUUCGGACUACAACGAGCAACGCGAGGCAUUGAGCGACUCACCGCCGACAUUCAUCACCUUGAAGCACGGACAAGAGACUACCUCGACACCAAGUUGGCCGAACAAAGGGAUCAAGUACGCGACAUGUUGGCCAACUACAAGUCUUCUUCCCCUUCGUCAUCUUCAAGGCGGCAACUCUCAAGUGGCCAAUCUUCGGAACGUCAUCGAGCUCAAUCACUACAACACCAUCAAGAUGAAGAUGCUCGCGAUGCGUCCACCUACAAGUCCCAAAAAGCUCUACAUCAAGCUAUGGCCAAACUUCAUGAGCACAAGAGAAGACCGCGAGACAAGCACCACCAAGACGGAGCUACGACUACUACCACCACUUCGGCAUCUUCGCCAAGUGUUAUCAAGGCAUCUUCGCCUUUGGACGUACGGCAUCUUCUCCGACGAGUACGCCUACUUCGACAUCUUUAA
rnacentral:rRNA from 1 species